UUGACAAUCUUAUCGUGAAGGCAUACUUUCAGGAGUGAGGGUUGAGCGGGGUUUCCCCCGCCCUGGUAGUCUUAGUAAGCCGGGAAGCUUAUGACUAAGAGCACCACGAUGAUGAUCCACUUCAUCAUGACCCUUUCCUU
rnacentral:sRNA from 1 species